UCACUCUGUGGGGAGAAUGUUGUGAGCCUACCACAUUGCAACCCAUCCUUGCCUUGGAAACUGCUCUGCUAAGAGGUUGGCUCCUGAUACCAAGUCUGCAGUCCUUCAGUGAUUAUUUUUGCUCAGUUUUUUGGCUCAGAACAGGGACAGCUUUCUGUAAAUCUGAGUGUCGCAUCGUCUCCUGGAGCCUAGAUCUGUGUAUAUCUGCAC